ensembl:lncRNA
UCAGUGUGGACAGGAAUCGGCUGCUGAGGUUCAUCCACUGCUGUGCUGCCUCUGACGCCCAGCAGGAGGCAGCGUCCGGCCUGCUGAGGACUCUGCAGCACCGCUUGGAUCUGUCCUGCCAGUCCUGUGUGGAUCUACAAGAGGAGGAUCAGACUGAGCCUCAGAGUCUGACUGCUGAUGACUGCAGGGCUGCAUCCAUCAUCCUGAAACACUGCAGCCGGGACACUCAGCUCCACCUGCAGGACUGUGAGGUGGAGGACGGAGGACUGGACCUGCUGUUUCCUGUCCUGGACAGGGUCCGCCUCAGUCUGAGCCACAAUAAGAUCACAGAUGCCUCCACAGAUGUGCUCCUCCAGCUGCUCUCCAUCCACUCCUCCAUCCACACUGUGCGACUCUUCAGCAACGACAUCGUGGACAGAAGACCCUUUGAGAAGCACAAGCAGUUUGAAAUCUAGUGAAGCAGUCAGGAGGUCAUGUGAUCAUCAGAGGAAAUGUUGGAUGUCCUCAAUGAAACCCUUUUCUCCUGGUGAUGAGAUGAAAAUACGGAGUCCAGUGCAAGAACCAACACUCAGUGAUCAUAAGUGUUGUGUGAUGUAGAGACAUUAAAGCUGGAUGCUGGAUGCUUCAGAUGUGUGGCUGUGUUUUAUGGUCCUUGUGUCCCACCCCCCACCUCUCUAUCUCUACCCCUCUAUCUGUAUCCCUCUAUCUCUACCUCUCUACCUCUACCCCUCUACUUCUAUCCCUCUAUCUCUACCUUUCUACCUCUUCUGUCCCUCUCAACCCGCCCGGCCAGCAGGCAGAUGGGUCCCCCCACAUUAGAGCCGGGUUCUGCUCGAGGUUUUUUUCCCUGUUAAAAGGGUGUUUUCCUUGCCACUGUCGCCUUUUGGCUUGCUCUGGGGGUCAGGCAUAUGGGUUCUGUAAAGCGUCUCGAGACAAUUUGACUGUAAUUGGCGCUAUAUAAAUAAAAUUGAAUUGAAAUUGAAUUAAAGUAAACCAGCCUCCAUAGUUACCACCUUAGAUUUUCUUAAACCUUUAUUUAUGUAAUAAAUAAGACCACAUUUUAUCCGGAGGCAACGAGCAGCCAGCUUUUUCUCAAACUUUUUAACAUAUCUGUUGUUUAAUUGUUUAUGUUUGGUACCAUGUAAUGAUCAUCUGAUG